UUGAGCCCACAGGAUCAUGAACGUUAUAAUAGCUUCAUCUUGCCAAAACAGGCGCGUGAAUUUUCAUUCGAGGAAACUAUUCAGAAGCUAAAAUCUCUUUUUGGCGCCACAGUUUCUAUUUUUCGUCGUCGAUACCAUUGUUUCCAGACAAUCAAGGAAGAUGGCGACGACUAUCUCGCAUAUUCGUGUAAAGUCAAUAAAGCAUGCGUAGAUUUCAAGCUGUCAGAGCUGACUGAGGAACAGUUUAAACACAUACAUAAGACAUACGUAACACUCGGGAAGAAAACUUCCAAAAAAGUUGGUACAAAAUGAACUACUCGAAAGUCCCAGCCUCUGAUAAAACGUCUGUUUGAGUAGUUUAUGAAGGCAGUGUACUUUUGCCGCCCUGCAUGUAUCUCGUUCCCACUUGAAGAAUGCUUCAUACAUUUUGUAAACAACUGUUUGACAGUUUUUUAGAAAAUUUUGUUUGGGGCUCGACUAAAGGCGAUGAAGUAUUCUUCUGUUCGUGCAAAACGAUUGGUUAUUCUAAAGGCAAAUCUUAUGAGGCUGCGAAUGAAUAUCAAACAUAUAAGCCAAUAAAACUAGUUUCAAAGUUCGUUUCGUACUUAUGGUCUGCUUGAUGUGCUAGUUUGCAUGCAAACGCUGCGAUAAAGAAGUUGGAAGCAAUAUGUUCGCCAUGUGUAACCAAGGUGUCCAGGCCAGUUAAUGGAAUCCUUCCGGUUUUGUUCAUGAAUUCGAUUGGUUUCCGAAAUAUGCUUGAAAAAUUUCGUAAUGUGUCGGUGAUUACGACGACAUGAAUGUCGGAGAAGAAGGACGCAAGAAUCUGAUCGAUUGUUUCGAACUGGCACCGGAACCGAAGAGUGACGUUGGUAUCAAAGACGAAGCUAUUGUCAAUGAAACGGAGAGGGACGAGAUUGCGGACGAUGAUCGAUUUCAGGAUGCUGUAGAGUAAAUUUACUAACUUGAGAAAUUACACAUCUUGCUAUUGUGCUUAUACACCAAUAAACAGUAAACAAUAAGGUAUUUUGUUUCAA